CAAAGGGUAGUUUAAUGAGAAAAUAUUAAUUUUGGGGAUUAAUGAUAAAAAUGUUUUUUCCUUUGA
rnacentral:tRNA from 1 species